UCUCCUUAAGCUCCUGAUCACACUGACUCCAAACACUCCUCGACGUUGUCCGUCUCGAACUGACAUUCACUAAAGCUGUGAACUCUGCCACUUUGCCAAAUCCUGGAACUAGGUAGCCAUUCCUGCGGAUGGCUACUCCGGAGGGAUCAUAAUUCUUUGGCUCAAACACUUAGGCAGAAUUUCUCCGGUGGCCCAUUCUCACCGAGUUCUUCACUUAAUUUUUUCUUCUUCUACAGACCAUCGUUGGAUCAUUUUGGUGGUAUAUAAUGCCCAACAUAUUAAGCUGCAGAAAAAACUCUGGAAGGAACUAUCGUUGAUCCCAAAACUGAAUUUACCUUAGAUUGUGCUAGUUAUUCGGGUGCUACUUUUUCUUGAUGCAAUGGACAUCGUGGGCUAGCACGAUGUUGGGUACGUCUUGACAAAUGUCUGGUUAAUGACCUAUGGUUAGCUUGCUCUAACACUGUUCAUAUUAGGUAUUUUCCUAAGCUCUUUUCAGAUCAUUCGCCUGUGCUUAUCAACAUUGUUAAAGAUAAUUUUACUGCUCAUAACAACUUCCGUUUUGAGAAUUACUGGUUGGAGCAUGCUAGUUAUAUUUUUGAAAUUCGUAAAGCCUUAUCUGGUAAUGCUCACUGUAAUCCUAAGCAUGCUUUCUAUCAUGUUUUGGCUCAGAUUAAGAGUGGUGUAUGUUCUAUUAGACAAUAUGGUUUGGGUGCUCUUGAUAGAGAAAUUAAAAACAUUGAAGUUCAGCUCCAGGCUCUUGAGAUCGAUGAUAGGUUAAGCUCUAAUGUAGACCUGGAUUCUUUUAGGAGAUUACAGAACAAAUACAGAGCUUUGUUGAGACAAAAUCACAGUAGGUGGGCUCAAAAGUCUAGAUUAAAUUGGAUUAUGGGUGAGGAUAUGAAUUAUUCUUUUUUUCACAGAAGUGUAAGGAUUCGUAGAUACCAAAAUUCAAUUUCUAAUCUCUAUGAUAAUAAUGGCAGGUGCUUUAAUGUUUCUCACCAAAUUGAUCUUAUUCUUGUGGAACACUUUUCAAAACUUUGGAAAAAUCUUAAUUCUAGGCCUCUAGAUUGGUUUUGGAUGCUCUUCCUUCUAAUCUUCCUACUCUCUCCACUGUACAACAAACCUCUUUGACUAGGCCUGUGUCCAAAGAUGAGAUUUACCUUACUCUUCUAUCUUUAGCUGAGGGAAAAUCUUUGGGUCCUGAUGGCAUGAAUGUAGAGUUCUACAAACUUUUCUGGACUGAUAUUGAGAAACAUUUAGUUCCUGCCAUUAAUUAUUUUCUCGACAAUGUUGUGAUGCCAAGAGCCUAGGGUAGAACUUACAUCACUUUAAUUCUUAAGAAAGAGCACCCCAAAUAUGCUUCGGACUUCCGUCCUAUUUCUCUGUGUAAUGUUGCUUAUAAGAUUAUUACUAAGAUUCUUGCUAAUCGUAUUAAGGAUGUGAUUACUUGCUUGGUUGGUGAAGAGCAAUGUGGAUUUGUGCCUGGUCGUUCUCCUGUUGACAAUAUCAUUGCAGUUUAGAAAUUAAUUCACUCUAUUAAUCAGGAGAGGACCAUCCCUCCUAGGAUGUUAGUAAAAGUGGACAUUAAGAAGGCUUAUAACACUCUUAAUUGGAAUAUUAUUUUGGCCACUCUUAUCACAAUGAACUUUCCUAGCAACUGAGUAUCUUAUGUUAGAGCUUGUCUUGAAGCUACUUCUUUUUCAAUUCGUAUCGAUGGUAAACCCUCUGAUUGGUUUCGGCCCUCUCAGGGUGUUAGGCAAGGCAAUCCUCUUUCCCCUUACCUUUAUCCUGGUGGCCCAGAACCUUAUUGCUAUUUUAAACCAUGCUAGAUUUCUUGGGUUUAUUCCAGGUUUUUCAAACUUGAAUCAUAACUUUAACCACCUAAUGUAUGCCGAUGAUCUUAUUCUGGUUACAACUGCGUCUAGAAAACAUGCCAGAAACAUCAGGUUUUGCUCAAACCUGUAUGCUCAGCUUUCUGGUCAAUAUCCCAAUCAGAAGAAAUCUGAGAUUUAUUUCCCAAAUUGGUUUAACAAACAGGUUCCUUCUAGAAUCUGCAAUAUCUUAAACUUUAAUCAUGGCAAAACUCCUUUCACCUAUUUAGGGGUUCUUAACUCUCCUAAUCGGCUUACCAUCUCUCAUUUUGAUUCCAUGGUUAAUUGCCUUAAUGCGGCAGUUAUAGAGUGGGGUAAGGCUAAUUAUCUAAAGCUGGCAAAUCAGUUCUCAUUAACAGCAUUCUAAUGGCUACCCCUACCUACUAUCUCUCGGUCUAUCCCAUUCCUGACUCUAUUCUUAAUAAGCUUUCCAGAAUUGCUAGGAAGUUCUUGCGGGCAAAUUAUGAUCAUAAUAAUGGCAUGCCUUUGGUGAAUUAGGACACCAUUACUUCUAGAAAAUCUGAGGGGGGAUUAGGCAUUAGAAACCUGCUCAAGAUUAAGCAUUCCUUGAUGGUAAAAAAUCUUAUCAAUUUUCUUAACAAGCAAAAAUCUCUGGGUUGAUAUUCCUUACAUGAAAUAUGGUGAUCAUAAUUUCUGGACUAUGAAACCCCUCCAAAUUGCUCGGCUUUUUUCAAAAGUUUGUGUAGUAAUGCUGAUGUUUUAAAACCUUUUUUGUGGAUCAAUUGUCUUAAUCCAGCAGUUACUUCUUUUCAUUACCAUCCGUGGUUGUUUGAUAUUCCCAUUGCUUACAAGGCUGUUUUUCUUAAUAUGAACCUCAAUGUGGAUGAUAUUCGAAUGAAUGAUCUGUUUGAUAAUUCUUCAUGGAAUGUGAAUGCUCUCAACCUUUUGUUUGGCACCAAUUGGAACUCGCCUACCAUAACUCAUGGGAAGAUUAAUAAUGAGGAAGACAAUCACUAGAUAUGGUUUCCAACCUCGAAAGGUAACAACCUUUCAUCUAACAUUUACAAGUUCCUAAAUAGCAGUCUUUCGAAGGAUCAAGAGUGGAAUGGCUGGGCUAAUAUUUGGAAGCUAAAUGUUGCUCCUAGAGCCAAAACUUUUAUUUGGUUUUUGGCUCAUGGUAAGAUCAAAAAAUUUAUGAGUAUUUGUAUCAGCUAAAUCUUGGUCCUCCUGAUCCAUGUGUGUUCUGUGGAUUGGUUUUGGAAUCAUCUAAUCAUCCUUUUACACAAUGUCAAAUUAGUGCCAGAAUCUGGAGGAUGGAGGAAUGUCUUGCUAACAUUAAGAUCAACUUGGUGGAUCUUAUUACCAAAGGCCAGUGGUUAGACUUCCAUUUUCAGGGUAAUUCAAAAUUUUUGGCUUCAAUUAUUGCAGCUUCAUUGUGGCGGAUCUAGAAAUGCAGGUGUAAUUGUAUUUUUAGACAGGAAAGUCCUGAUAUUUUUAAGACUGCUAAUUUGGUUGUGCUUCAUGUGCAAGAAUUCUCUAGUUCUCCUACCUUCAAAAUGCAGAACUAUCUCAUGCAAAACAGACCAAAACCAGGUUUUAUGGGCAUUUUCUCAGCUGCUGCUUGGAAUGAAGUUACAGGUAAAGGUGGUCUAGGUUUCAUCUUAAUUGGUACUAAUGCCAAGGUUUGCUAUGCAGGAUCAUAUCCAAGUAUGUUUGCUGACAUUCUGGAAAUAGAAACAAGGGCUCUUUGUCUAGCUCUUCUACACUCCAAAGACGCAAGGGAGAAAUGCUCAAACAUAUAUAUCGGCUCAACUAUUCUUUGAAAGACGAUCCAUCACAUGGAGGAGUUGGUCUAUUGGCGUCAACAGGAAUAUGUUGAUCACUUGAGGGAGCUACUGCAACAUUUGAAUCAUCCUCAACUAGAACUCAUCCCUCAUCAGUGAAACCGAAUUGCUACAGUUUUAGCGGGUCAUGGAAUUCAUUCGACGCACUUAUUUCUAUUCCAUAUGGGUAUGGAGAAACUGAAUUGGCUAAUGAAGCUAAUCAACCAAGCUGGUUGCACCUGAUUUUCCUACCUUAAUCAUUUGUCUUAGUAGCUUAGAGUCUUGUUCACUAUGUAUUUUUGCUUUUUUGCUUUUGUUUUCAGUUUUUC